rnacentral:rRNA from 1 species
AACGAACGCUGGCGGCAUGCCUAACACAUGCAAGUCGAACGGGAUCCUAGCUUGCUAGGUGAGAGUGGCGGACGGGUGAGUAACACGUGGGAAUCUGCCUUUUGGUUCGGGAUAACCGCGGGAAACUGCGGCUAAUACCGAAUGCCCUCGAGAGAGGAAAGAUUUAUCGCCAGAAGAGGAGCCCGCGUCCGAUUAGGUAGUUGGUGGGGUAAAGGCCUACCAAGCCGACGAUCGGUAGCUGGUCUGAGAGGAUGAUCAGCCACACUGGGACUGAGAUACGGCCCAGACUCCUACGGGAGCAGCAGUGGGGAAUAUUGGACAAUGGGGGCAACCCUGAUCCAGCAAUGCCGCGUGAGUGAUGAAGGCCUUAGGGUUGUAAAGCUCUUUUGCCAGGGAAGAUGAUGACUGUACCUGGAGAAUAAGCCCCGGCUAACUUCGUGCCAGCAGCCGCGGUAAU